GAAAGAUGACGGUACCUAAGGAAUAAAGCACCGGCUAAAUACGUGCCAGCAGCCGCGGUAAUACGUAUGGUGCAAGCGUUAUCCGGAAUCACUGGGCGUAAAGGGUACGUAGGCGGUGAUGCAAGUCAGAAGUGAAAGGCUACGGCUCAACCGUAGUAAGCUUUUGUAAACUGCAUGACUAGAGUUCAGGAGAGGUAAGUGGAAUUCCUAGUGUAGAGGUGAAAUUCGUAGAUAUUAGGAGGAACACCAGUGGCGAAGGCGACUUACUGGACUGAUACUGACGCUGAGGUACGAAAGCGUGGGGAGCGAACAGGAUUAGAUACCCUGGUAG
rnacentral:rRNA from 1 species